rnacentral:rRNA from 1 species
GACAGAGGGGGCAAGCGUUGCUCGGAAUUACUGGGCGUAAAGGGCGCGUAGGCGGAAUGGCAAGUCGGUCGUGAAAUCCUUCGGCUCAACCGAAGAACGUCGAUCGAAACUGCCGUUCUUGAGGAUUGCAGAGGAGACUGGAAUUCCUGGUGUAGCGGUGAAAUGCGCAGAUAUCAGGAAGAACACCAAUGGCGAAAGCAGCUCUCUGGGACGGUACUGACGCUGAGACGCGAAAGCGUGGGGAGCGAACAGG